rnacentral:rRNA from 1 species
ACCCCUUGAGAGUGGCGAACGGGUGAGUAAUAUAUCGGAACGUGCCCAGUCGUGGGGGAUAACGUAGCGAAAGUUACGCCAAUACCGCAUACGAUCUAAGGAUGAAAGCGGGGGACCGUAAGGCCUCGCGCGAUUGGAGCGGCCGAUAUCAGAUUAGGUAGUUGGUGGGGUAAAGGCUCACCAAGCCAACGAUCUGUAGCUGGUCUGAGAGGACGACCAGCCACACUGGAACUGAGACACGGUCCAGACUCCUACGGGAGGCAGCAGUGGGGAAUUUUGGACAAUGGACGCAAGUCUGAUCCAGCCAUUCCGCGUGCAGGAUGAAGGCCCUCGGGUUGUAAACUGCUUUUGUACGGAACGAAAAGGUCUCUCUUAAUACGGGGGGCUCAUGACGGUACCGUAAGAAUAAGCACCGGCUAACUACGUGCCAGCAGCCGCGGUAAUACGUAGGGUGCAAGCGUUAAUCGGAAUUACUGGGCGUAAAGCGUGCGCAGGCGGUUAUGUAAGACAGAGGUGAAAUCCCCGGGCUCAACCUGGGAACUGCCUUUGUGACUGCAUAGCUAGAGUACGGUAGAGGGGGAUGGAAUUCCGCGUGUAGCAGUGAAAUGCGUAGAUAUGCGGAGGAACACCGAUGGCGAAGGCAAUCCCCUGGACCUGUACUGACGCUCAUGCACGAAAGCGUGGGGAGCAAACAGGAUUA